rnacentral:rRNA from 1 species
UUAAGGCUAGGGGGUCAUCCCGACUUACCAACCCUUUGCAAACUCCGAAUACCAGUGAGUACUAUCCGGGAGACACACGGCGGGUGCUAACGUCCGUCGUGAAGAGGGAAACAACCCAGACCGCCAGCUAAGGUCCCAAAGUCAUGGUUAAGUGGGAAACGAUGUGGGAAGGCCCAGACAGCCAGGAUGUUGGCUUAGAAGCAGCCAUCAUUUAAAGAAAGCGUAAUAGCUCACUGGUCGAGUCGGCCUGCGCGGAAGAUGUAACGGGGCUAAACCAUGCACCGAAGCUGCGGCAGCGACGCUUAUGCGUUGUUGGGUAGGGGAGCGUUCUGUAAGCCUGCGAAGGUGUGCUGUGAGGCAUGCUGGAGGUAUCAGAAGUGCGAAUGCUGACAUAAGUAACGAUAAAGCGGGUGAAAAGCCCGCUCGCCGGAAGACCAAGGGUUCCUGUCCAACGUUAAUCGGGGCAGGGUGAGUCGACCCCUAAGGCGAGGCCGAAAGGCGUAGUCGAUGGGAAACAGGUUAAUAUUCCUGUACUUGGUGUUACUGCGAAGGGGGGACGGAGAAGGCUAUGUUGGCCGGGCGACGGUUGUCCCGGUUUAAGCGUGUAGGCUGGUUUUCCAGGCAAAUCCGGAAAAUCAAGGCUGAGGCGUGAUGACGAGGCACUACGGUGCUGAAGCAACAAAUGCCCUGCUUCCAGGAAAAGCCUCUAAGCAUCAGGUAACAUCAAAUCGUACCCCAAACCGACACAGGUGGUCAGGUAGAGAAUACCAAGGCGCUUGAGAGAACUCGGGUGAAGGAACUAGGCAAAAUGGUGCCGUAACUUCGGGAGAAGGCACGCCGCUUUUAGUGAUCGGAUUUACUCCGUAAGCUGAAGGCGGUCGAAGAUACCAGAUGGCUGCGACUGUUUAUUAAAAACACAGCACUGUGCAAACACGAAAGUGGACGUAUACGGUGUGACGCCUGCCCGGUGCUUGAAGGUUAAUUGAUGGGGUUAGCGCAAGCGAAGCUCUUGAUCGAAGCCCAAGUAAACGGCGGCCGUAACUAUAACGGUCCUAAGGUAGCGAAAUUCCUUGUCGGG